rnacentral:rRNA from 1 species
UCGUCAGCUCGUGCCGUGAGGUGUCGGGUUAAGUCCCAUAACGAGCGCAACCCCUACCCUUUAGUUGCCAUCAGGCUAAGCUGGGGACUCUAAAGGAACUGCCUACGCAAGUAGUGAGGAAGGCGGGGAUGACGUCAAAUCAGCACGGCCCUUACGUCCAGGGCGUACACACGUGCUACAAUGGCCGAUACAGAGGGCAGCUACCUGGUGACAGGAUGCAAAUCUCCAAAGUCGGUCUCAGUUCGGAUCGGAGUCUGCAACCCGACUCCGUGAAGUUGGAUUCGCUAGUAAUCGCGCAUCAGCCAUGGCGCGGUGAAUACGUUCCCGGGCCUU